UGAACUUAGAGCUAGACAAUC
rnacentral:piRNA from 1 species